rnacentral:misc_RNA from 1 species
AAGUCGUAACAAGGUUUCCGUAGGUGAACCUGCGGAAGGAUCAUUACUGAGUAUUUGGGCUGAAAAGUCCGGUUCUCCACACUUUUGUUUUAAGCGAUUGGGGGAAAUCAUCAUCCUCUUCUCGCGACAACACUUUUAUUCUAUGAAUAAAUCAAAACUUUCAACAACGGAUCUCUUGGUUCUG